UACGGGGGGGGCAAGCGUUGUUCGGAAUUACUGGGCGUAAAGGGCUCGUAGGUGGCCAACUAAGUCAGACGUGAAAUCCCUCAGCUUAACUGGGGAACUGCGUCUGAUACUGGAUGGCUUGAGUUUGGGAGAGGGAUGCGGAAUUCCAGGUGUAGCGGUGAAAUGCGUAGAUAUCUGGAAGAACACCGGUGGCGAAGGCGGCAUCCUGGACCAACACUGACACUGAGGAGCGAAAGCCAGGGGAGCAAACGGG
rnacentral:rRNA from 1 species